rnacentral:tRNA from 1 species
UGUUAUAUGGCUUAGUUGGUUAAAGCACCGGACUGGCAAUACAGAGUCGUGAGUUCGAAUCCCACGAAAACAA